AUUUUUUUUCCAGGAAAAGGCUUAUACUGGUGGGAACUAAUCUCAUUGGGACAGAAAAAAAAUUGAAAAUUAUGUUUUAAAGUGCAUUUUUGCUGUAGCAUGUAAAAAUCCCAACAUUGCCUUAUGUUUCACUUAGAACACAAAAUAGAUUCAAUGAGAAAAUUAAAAAAAAAUUUUUUUUCACUGUGACUUUUUAUAAACCCGCAAGGGUAGUAUUUGAUGAGCAAUAUAUGAACUGGCUUCUCUCCUCAUCUUCAUUUCCUUCACCUCCCCUCCUUCCUUUUCCUUGCAGCAGCCGUCCAGAGAAUCAUUUGAUAGGAAACUUUCUCUACUUGAGAAAUUCCAAAGGAUUGCAGCCCUUCUAUAAAGGUCUUAAAGUAACAUUUAUAUUUGAAUGAAUCUCAUCUCAGCUUUACCUAUCAGCUCAUUUCUGGCAAUCUUUGUUUCCAGGUUGCAGAAUGUUCCUUCUGAGAUAAUAUGGAUUCCUCUUCUUCAUUCUGUUACCAAGCUUCUCUGGAUAAAUAAUGAAGUUGUUAAACCCUGAGAAUAAGCUUUGAAAAGAGUCCUUACCCCACCUGGGGAAAAGCUCCAAACAUUUGAAAAAGAAAAGGCACCACUGUUGUGUAACAGUUCUUAAAAUACUGCCUUGUUAAUUUGUUUCUAUUUUACAAGGACGUUAUGCCAACAGUGAUAAAUGAAAUGUAUCUCUCCCCCAACCCCCAAAAAGGCUGCCUUCCAGAUUCUCCCUCUGUGUUUACAGAAAUGUGCUCUAUUCAAAGUUGGGAUCAAUUGUUCAUGCACACUGGUGUUCAUUUGUUCAAGGCGGCAUCUGGGCCUCAGAUGUUGGGAGUGACCCGUGAAGGCAGAGUGCUAUUAAUAGUGAGGCUUAUCUCGUCCAGGGGCGUAAUCAUUUUAGCAUGCUCCAGAAAAAGCCAGUGUGCAGCUCUCUGCCCACCUUCACUCGGGCAGGGUCCGCACCUUCCAAAGGCAAACACGGCCAAAAAGAACUCUGAAAGAAGUGAUUAGAGUCCUGAUUGCUCUACAAAUUGAGCCUUUUUUCUGCUUGACAGUGAUCCUGGCAUAGCCUCCCCACUUAAUCCUCGCCAGCAAUUUGCCUAUAGUUACAGCUAACAAGAGGUGAUUAGAGGGGAGUUUCCCGUCACUACUUAACACCCAGCUCUAGGUCGACAUGGGCACAGGCAACAGAGUCGGGUCUGUUUUCCCCUUAGCUCACCACCUCUGGAUGCAUUAGCCUGGAACGCAGCUAAUGAUAGUUUUCGAGCACCAGCCAGAGUUCCUGAACAGCAUCUGUUAGCAGUUAUCCAGCUCUCCAUGUAUCGAGGAAAUCCAGGAAGGAUGGAGAGAAGGCCUGUUGCUUUUUAAACCAAAACCAGAGAGCUGAGCCAGCACAGAGUGUCUCUCCCAGGAAAGUUAGGUGGACACUGUGCUGAGUGGUCCACUGGGGGUUCUGUUUUGACACCAAGAAGGGGACAAGAUCCACUCAUUGCAUAGUUUACCUCUCCUCUGCAAGGAUCAUAUCUCAGGGUAGAAGCUAGCACAAAGCAGAACUUGCAAGUUCGGUGGGCUGUAGAGGUGUGAGAAGAAGCAGCAGGCUGGCUGUGGGGUUAGGUGGGUGGUUCCCAUGUGUGAGCAGCGUUGGCAACCCCUGGAGGGCUUAGUAAAACCUCCAGGUUUCUGAUUCAGCAGGUCUGGGGUAGAGCUGGAGGAUUUGCAUUCUAACAAAUCCCCAGGAGAAACUGCUGCUGCUGCCGCUGCUGCUGCUGCAGGUCUGAAUCUCACUUUCAGAACCUAUGACGUGCUUUGACAGCCUUGGCCUUUGCUAACUGUGAAGUGUACCCCCAGCCUCCCUGCUGAACACCCAUGUGUGGCUCCCCAUUAUCUUCAGGAAAAAGUCCCAACUCUUUAAGUGACUUCUGAGGCCCUUCGUAAGCUGCCCACCCUUUCUCCUCUAGUCUUCCUUCCCCCUGCCCAAGCUAUUAAAUGUGAGCAUACCUGAGGCCCCCAUCAGGAAGAUGUUUUUACAUUCUGAAAAUGCUCUUCCCUGGAGGAGUUCUUACUCAUCUAUUAAGUUGGCGCUCAACUAUUGCCUCAGCUAGAGGCCCCAGCUGAGCCUGCUGCUUCCUUGCAAAUCUGAAUUCCACAGCUCCUUACGUGCACCUGCUUGAUGCAUGUAUUACAUCAGAUGAGGGUGCUGAUGGUGUGUCUUUCUCCUCCAAGUUAGGGAUCUCUUUUAUUCAUUUUAUUUCCCCAACACCUAGCUCUGUGCCUAACACAUGGUCAUUACACGGUAACAUUUUUGUUGAAUAAAUUAGGUCUUGCGUGAGACAAAAUGUCUAAUAGGAAUUAUUAUCAAAUAGUAAAGAUCAAACUUUGAAGUCAGAUCAUCCAUGUCUGAGUUUUCACACAACCAUAUUGAGGUGUUUUUUCUUUUUCUUGUUUGCUUUGGGGCAGUUCACUUCCCCUCUCUGAGACUCAGUCUUACACAUCUUUACAAUGGGAAUAUUAAUAAUGAUGGUGAUAAUAGUAAUAGUGAUUGCAGUUGUAGCAGUAAUGGUUGUACCACUGCUUCCUUCACAUGUAGGUAAUAAAAUGCACAGCAUAAUGCCUGACACAUAGCAAAACUUCAGUAUAUAGGGAGGUGUAUCUUAUUUUCUUUGUCUUACUGUGGGAAGCCCACACUGGUGGGAUACUGAUCGGAUCUGUAGGAAUAAGUGGGUCAAAGUGGAGAGGAAGCCAAACAGGACUAUAGGGCAAUUGAGCAGUGCACCUGGCAUCCCCUGGUGUUAAUGUUGUGAAUGUAAUGCUGUGAAUUGAAUUAACUGGAGGGGAUAUUUGCCAGGGGACUGAAGCAAAACACAUCUCUUUCUCUCACCACUCUGUGCCCUGCUCUCCCAUCCCCAGCCACCCUGGCUUCUUUCUCAUGCCGGAGCAUGCUGGGAUCUUGAAGACUUUGCACAACCCAUCCUGUCCCUCCCUCCUUCACCCCCUUCUCAUUUACCUGCUAUUGAUUUCAAUGCAAUCUGUCCUCAGAGAAGUCUUCUUCUCUGGCCAGUUCAUCAAAGGUCACCUCUUUCAAGAUCACUUGUGUUUUCUCAGCCAGCACUCUGUACCUUUCUUUCAUAGCAAUGGUGGCAGCCUGCAAUUAUUUUAUAUGCAUUCAAUGUUUCUUUCUCUUACUCUACAAUAAGCUCCAUGAAGGUGGGAAGCAACCUGUUCUGUCCUUUCUUAAACCCUCUGAACCUAGUAUAGUGCCUGACAUCUAAUAAGUGAGAAGGAAAUCGUCAUUAAAUGAUGAACGACUAAUGGGAAGAAGUGAUCAGAGCUGCUGUGUAACUAUGGUGGGUCAAGGCAAAGGCAAUGUAUGUUUUGCCUCGGGGAACCUGCAAUCUCCAUUGUUGGAAAAAGCACACAGAGAGCACACUGGUCAGACCCCUCUCUUCCGUGCUUCCCUAGACACUGUUCUCACCAUAGCCUCAUACUUUCUUUCUGUCUUUCCCCCCUUAAUCCAGUUAAUAAUUACUAAAAUCUACUAAAUGUUAGACACACUUCUAGAGAUAAACAAAUGAACAAAAGUUCUGUCCUUGUGGAACUUAGAUUACACAUUGUAUUUACCUAGUUACUUUAUUGUCAUAUUUUGUCCCAGCUCCUAAGUUAAUUCUUUACAAAGUGUAGGUGCUCAAUAGAAAUUGGCUGAAUGAAUGGAUUUAUUUUUUACUUUCUUUCCACUAAUUCCAUAAUCCAACCAAAAGGAUUUAUCAUUAAUCCAGCAUGCUUAAAUAUUUUGAAUAAAUAAUGCUCCAUAGGCUCCCUGUAUACAUUCCAGCCUCAUGUCUUUGCCCACAACCAUUCUCUGUUUGGAUCCCUGUUUACUGUUUUGUUGUUGUUGUGGAUCUAUUCCCC